CAGUCGCCGCGGUAAAACGAAGGGGGCUAGCGUUGUUCGGAUUUACUGGGCGUAAAGCGCACGUAGGCGGACUUUUAAGUCUGGGGUGAAAUCCCGGGGCUCAACCCCGGAACUGCCUUUGAUACUGGGUAUCUUGAGUCCGGGAGAGGUUGGUGGAACUCCGAGUGUAGAGGUGAAAUUCGUAGAUAUUAGGAAGAACACCAGUGGCGAAGGCGGCCAACUGGCCCGGUACUGACGCUGAGGUGCGAAAGCGUGGGGAGCAAACAGGAUUAGAUACCCCAGUAGUCCCUGUCUCUUAUAC
rnacentral:rRNA from 1 species